ACUGCUCAGUAACACGUGGACAAUCUGCCCUGAAGAAGAGAAUAAUCCCGGGAAACUGGGGGUAAUGCUCUAUAGUCCGGGGAAACUGGAAUGUUUCCCGGAUAAAAGAUCCGUCGCUUCAGGAUGAGUCUGCGGCCGAUUAGGUAGUUGUUGGGGUAAAAGCCCAACAAGCCCGUAAUCGGUACGGGUUGUGGGAGCAAGAGCCCGGAGAUGGAUUCUGAGACACGAAUCCAGGCCCUACGGGGCGCAGCAGGCGCGAAAACUUUACAAUGCGGGCAACCGUGAUAAGGAAACCCCGAGUGCCAGCACAGGCUGGCUGUCCACCAGUGUAAAAAACUGGUGAAGAAAGGGCCGGGCAAGACCGGUGCCAGCCGCCGCGGUAAUACCGGCGGCUCGAGUGGUGGCCGCUUUUACUGGGCUUAAAGGGUCCGUAGCUGAUCUGCAAGUCCCUUGAGAAAUCCAUCGGCUUAACUGAUGGGCGUUCAGGGGAUACUGUGGUUCUAGGGACCGGGAGAGGUGAGAGGUACUGCCGGGGUAGGAGUGAAAUCCUGUAAUCCCGGUGGGACGACCUAUGGCGAAGGCAUCUCACCAGAACGGCUCCGACAGUGAGGGACGAAAGCUGGGGGAGCAAACCGGAUUAGAUACCCGGGUAGUCCCAGCUGUAAACGAUGCGCGUUAGGUGUGUCAGUGACCACGUGUCACUGAGGUGCCGAAGGGAAACCGUGAAACGCGCCGCCUGGGGAGUACGGUCGCAAGGCUGAAACUUAAAGGAAUUGGCGGGGGAGCAC
rnacentral:rRNA from 1 species